UACUCUUCUAGUACAACUCAGCUCCUCUAUAGCUUACCUUCAUGUUACCUUCUGCUGAGCCUGUAACAAAAUAGUCCUCAGAAGGAUCCAGUGCAAGGGCCUUAACAGCUGAAUCGUGUGCUUGGAAGGUAUAAAGGAUUUGCCUCUGUCUGAUGUCAAAGAUGCAGAUGUAUCCCUUCCUACCACCAGAAAUCAGCAGCUGAUGCUUUGGUGCAUACUGUAGUACCGUGGCACCAUGAUCGUGACAAGUGAAGGCUGAAGAAGAAGGAUGCCACAGUUUAAUAGAUUUGAAACUGUGCCCUGACUGGAAUUCUUUAAAAUGAGACAGAACUUCAGUGCAAUCUGCUGGUUUAAAAAAGUGAAUCUAAGAAUGUACCUAUUGUUUACACAGCAGCAUGUCAGAACUUUCUGAACGUGGAAUACAUCAUGGAAAAACUGUUUAAUUCUUAACCAUCCCUCACAAACUAAAUGCUGGAAAAAAAAUGACCGAAGGAGUGAUGUUCAAAGAAAUAAUCUGUCAGGUCUGAGCAGUAAGUAAACUUGUAAUGCUAAGCCUUAAAACAUCAGCCACGUAUUAAUGCGUGACAAGCAGUGGGUUAGUAGACAUCAGUAGGUAGCUCUGGUGAAAUGCCGCAGUUUCUUUAAACACACCUGUUGUCAUUGGACUGUCCUGAC